GAGCAAAGUUGUUUUGUGUCCAUGCAUCAGAGCUCCCAUCCUGGGACAUAAUAAGGGGAGGAUUUGUAGGCAUUGGCCCCUAGACGAUCUCAUGAAGCGGCGAUUCCAAAUGAGGAUAACGCAAAACGCCGUGCUCAUGCUUUGGAAGGAAACAGCGGCUUUGCUUUUAUAUUUGCUCGGGGAAAGGCGGGAACUUAACCAAGUUGUGCUCAUGGGCUUUUCUGGCACUAUCAUCGCUUAACAUACAUAGCCUGAAUGUUUCUCCAGCCUGUUUCUUACAUCAAGACAGUGCAAGACAUGGAAAGGAAACUCAUUCAGCAUCACUGCCCAGUGCCUGCAAGCUGUUUGGCCCGGAGAGUUCUAUUGAAAAUCAAGAUAGAGAGGAAGAUCCUGUGAUCAGCAUAGCAUCUCUAUUCAGUUGGAUAUCUUCAACAACAGCAACAAAAAAAUAUUGUCCAGAACAAGGCCUUAAUCAUAUGGUGUGAUAAAGGUCUGAAGGGAUGACGACUUGUAACAAGUGCCUAUGAUAAUUUCUAAUCACCACAAAAGAAUUUAUAGAAUUUUAUAGAACUACUUCAUCUCAGAUAGACCAGUAGAAGGAGGUGGACUUGCCUCUUAAUAAGCUAGCUUCAGUGAUUUUUUUUUUUAUUUACUCAUAAUUCACUUAUUUGAAGUGUUUUCUUUUUCUUGAAUGAAAUCAAGUAAUCAUUUUACUGUCUUGGGAUCAGAAGUCUCACUUUUUUCUGACUCAUGCAGUCUGCAGAGUCCCAGACUCCCUCCUCAGCCAUAGCCAGAAUUCACUGGCAUGAAUGAACCUGUUGACUUCUCUGAAAAUCUAUGUAUGUAACACCUACAAGAAAGUAACACUGGAAAUUUCCAGAAGACCAAUCAUAUUACUCCUGACUUCUAGGUAAUAAAAAUCAAGAAACUGGAACCCUAAUUGUUUAUGGUAAACCAGCAUAUAAAAUAAUUUACUUUAA